CUGUUCCUCUGCAGUUUAAUAGGCAUCUAUCCAAAAUCAACGUAUGUGGGUAAAAUUAUUUAUUUACCUAGGAAAAUAUUUUUCAAUUAAUUUAUCCCAAGUCCUUUUAGAGUAAGUUAUGCUGAAGACUAUUAGAUGUAUCCUUGGUAAAAUAUUGUGGUUUUUUUUUUUUUUUCCAGUGGAUAUUAUGGUAGAUUAGUAACAUCUGUUUUUAAAUUUUCCAAGGGAGAUUUCUGUGCCCUUUUCCUGCAGUGUUGAACUUGGAGGCUUUAUGUGUUUGUCUUUAUGUUGGAUGGAGGUGACCCAGAUCUACUUUUAUAGGGAAAAACAGUCUUGACUCAGACAACUCUCACUAAGACCAUUGACCUGAAUAAGUUGAGUGUUCAAUCAUGAAUUUUGGCCAAGUUCAUUUACAUAACAGAGUUGUAUUUUAAUGCUAUUUCCAGCUACCCAGACUAAAAAUCUGCUGUGAUUUGUUAAACAGCAUGACGGUUUUACUCAAGUAUCCAAAGCCUGAAACUUUGUGCAGCCAAUUCAUUUGCUUAGCUUGUCAAAUGUUUAUUCCUAGACCAAGCUAGAAUAUUAGAUCAAUGACCUUAGAUGACAAUAUUUAGUUUCUGAAGCAAUUUUUUAUUAAAUUAAAAAAUAUAUGCAUUAAUCAUAUUGGAAAGCAAAGAUAACUUUUCCUAAAGCUAAUAACCUGAAGUUACAAGUGUUUUUAUUCAAACAAAAUUGUGCUUGUUAUCUUUCACCGUAUUGUUAAAUGGCUUGCUUGAGUCUAUAUGAACACACAUUACAUCAUGUAUACUUUAAUUUUUUAAAUUUGAAUAGCUACUGUAAUGUGAUCAAAAUAAAUCAGCCAACAUCGAUGAAAUAUAUCAAGUCUGGAAGGAUUUUUUAAGACUGAAUACUGGGUUCAUGGUAAUUACAAGUUAAAAGUAUAUUGAAAUUUUUCCAUUAAAAGAAAAUCUUUAUUCUUCAUAUGUGUUGUAUUUUAAGAGUUUUUCAUUGGCUAAUACAACUUGAUAAAAUAUUCUUAGGGAUGGAAUGAUGUAUAUUUUUAUACAUAUAUGUAGUCAAAAAUAAUUUUUCACAUUCAAAAUGCUUUAUACAUAAUAAUUAAUCUGAAGUAAGCAUUAUAAUCCUUAUCAAGAUGAGACAGAAAGGUUUAUCUACUUGAUUAUUGACACAUAAAUGUAGAGAUGAAGUAUUUGGUACUUAUUCAUUCUUCAGUAGCCCUAUAUAUGUAGCCAUUUUUAUCAGUAGAUUUAAUAAUUAAAUAAUUAUGUAUGGUUACAUAUUUUUAAUAAUUUUUAGCAAAAUUUAGUAAUAUAAAUAUGGAUAGUUUACUUAAUAAUUGAAAUUUAAUUUCAUAUCAAGAAAACAGUACAGGGCAAUCUCAUGGUGUGAGGUAGCUCAAGCAGCAAUUGCAUAUAGGCAUUAUAAUCAGUACCUGACUAAUUUUUAUGUCUUUGAAACCACAAGAUUUGUUUGAAUUUACACUCAAAAAAAGAGUAUUUAAUUAAGCUGAUAUUAUAUAAUAAACUUCAAACUUUAAACUAGAAAUAUUUAACUUUUACUAUCUUAUGAAAUUUAUAGAAAUCUAAAUAAAAAACUAAAGUUUUAUGUAUUAUUCCAAUAAAUUAGUCUUACAUUACUGUUUCUUUAAGUAAUUAUUUUUGUACUACAGUUGCAGAGCAUUGCCUGCUGUCAAAAAAAAUUAGGUUACCUGGGGAUGAAUAUUCUCUAAUGGUAAGAUCACCAGACUGCAGUCAUGGGUGAGCCCCAGUUUCUAUUCUUAGAAUCACCCAAUAAUGCCCAGUCUAAUCUUCUGUAAGACUUUUUAACAGUCUUCACUUUUUCUUCUUCAGUUCCAAAAAGAAAGUUCAAUUCAACACAUAUUUUUUAUCAUGUGUUAACGAAGUAAUAUAAGAAAAAUAGGGGAAACAAUGAAACUAAUUUAAAAAAUGGAAGGUUAUAAUCCUCCUUAAAAGACUAGGUAUCCAAUGGAAAAAGGCAUUAUUAAAAAAACAUUCUAAUAAAAUACAUAGGAUUUAUAGAAUUUAAAGAGAUGUUGAUUAUUUUCAGAUGGUGAACUCAGAGGUAAUAUGCCUAAAUGAAAAUUGUUUGAGGUUCCAUUUAGAAGAUUUUGAAAGUGAUAGGGCAUUGGUAGAAGACAUAAGGACAGGAAUAUAUGCGGAGGAGACAACAUGAACAAAGGCUCCGAAACUAAAACGUGUAAGGCAUGUGAUUGUAGUAAUGGCUGUGUAUGGAGUAAAGAAAAAAAUUCUGGAAAUAAUUGUGAAAAUCUUUGAAGACCAGGUUUAACAAGUUUCAAUGUUAUUUUCUAGGCAUUGGAUAUACACUGAAUGUUUUAAAAGGUGGAUCUAGGUAAUCAUGUGAUCUAGCACUGCUGCUAUUGGAAGAUGCCCUAAGAGUACACAUCUGAACUAGAAUAAAUGACAGUGAGAAAUGAAAGAUCGUAUAUGUAUGUAUGUAUGUAUGUGUAUGUGUGUNCUCUGAAACAUGCAACCACAUGUAUCAUAUGUUUAUGUAUUUCAGAAAUUGAAUAGACAGAAAUGGAAAACUUUCAGAAUGAAUGUAAAAUAGGGAAGAGACAAUGUUAUUUUAUAAUUUAUGUGGAUUUCUAAGGCUAUUUUGUAAAUCAUUUGAAAACUUCCAAAUAAAGGAUUUUAUGUAAUUAUAAAUUAUGAAUGAUAAUUUUAAGUCAUUCAUCAUAAGGGAAUAAGGCAUUUAAGCCCAGUAGUAAUAUGAACAAUUCAAUUUUUAAAGCUGCAGCUCAGGUAAAAAUCUGUUCUUAAAACCAAUUACUUUCCAAAUAUUUAUUUUUUUAUUUUUCUUAUUUUUAGGGCUGCACCCAUGGCAUAUGGAAGUUCCCAGGCUAGGGGCAGAAUUGGAGCUGUAGCCUACCGGCCUAUACCACAGCCACAGCAAUGCUGGAUCCCAGCCACGUCUAAAACCUACACAACAGCUCACAGCAAUGCUGGAUCCUUAACCCACUGGGGGAGGCCAGGGAACAAACCUACAUCCACAUGGAUAUUAGUCAGGUUCCUUACUGCCGAGCCAUAAGAGGAAUUCCAAUGCCUGAUUCUUUCGUAUGUAGCAUUCAUACCUGCAUAUCUUUGUUGCGUUGUUGUUGUUAGUCAUUAUUUUUCUUUUUUACAUCUGACUAAGUUUCUUUGGUCCUUAGGGUAAAAACUUUGUCUUUUUAUAUUCUAUGCAAUAUUUAGGAAAGCCUAAAAUCAGAGAAACAUGGGGAUUUUAAAUAAAUCAGGAGGUCAUCUAUUCUAACCUCUUGGUCCAAAAACAAAAACGAAAACAAAAGCAUUAAAAAAAACCCACAAAAAUACAAAAAAAAAAAAAAACCUCAAGUUAUACUCAUGGCUUCUUGUUUAUCCCUGAAAAUGCAUGGUGAGCUCACUCCCAUCCGAAGCAGCCCAUCUCAUUGUUUUGCAGGUCUCAGGAUUAGAAAGUGCAUUAUUAAAUUGAGCUGGAAGUUAGUUAUCUUAUUUUAACUUAUAAACACUGGCUCUUUACUUUCAUGAGAAACACAGGAGUCUAAUCCGCCUUUGACAUAAUAGAUGUUUAAACAUUUAAGGACUGCUCUUAUGCUCUGUAAGAAUGUAAAAUGUACCUAUGGGUGAGAUAAAUUAUCAGGUUUGUGGUUUGUGUUGUUUUGUUUAUUUAUUUGUAUUCUCAGAGAAAUGAGAUCCAUGGUUGGAGAAUGGUUUAUUGCAUUCCAGUGCAUUAAUGUGGGUUGAUUUUUCCCCAUAAACAAAUUUCUGUUUCUUAAGAAACUUUCUCUCUCACAACUCGUUUCUUAUCACCAGUUGGCUCAUUUCUUAAUUAAGCUUUUUUUUUUUAAAGCAGCAAUAUAAAGGCAUAAGGAUGAACUUAAGAUUACCAAAUAACUGAAUUGAAUUCAAUUAAUAUUCACAAUUUACCUUUUGAUUCCUCUAUUUAAUAUGAAAAUAACUUUAUCAUAAAAAAAGCUUACUAGAUUUCAAUAUUGACAUUAUAAGAUUUGGAGAAAUAUUUUCCAGUUAUCGUUAAUCAUAUUUAAAUGUAAUGUGAAAGGAAAGGGGAGAAGAAGGUUGACUUCAUCUAAUAAGAUGAAUGAUGUAUUAAAAUCAGACAAGAGAACAUCAUUUAUGCCCUACGUAUUAUUUUACUUCUGAUUCUGUACUCAAGACAUUGUUACAACAAUCAAAAAACCUGAUUAAAAAUGGGCAAAGAACUUGAAUAUACAUUUCUCUAAAGAAGAUAUACAAAUGACCAGUAAGCACAUGAAAAGAGAUUGACAUCACUAGUCGUUAGGGAGAUGAAGUAAAAGCACAAAUAGAUAAUGCUUUACAUCUAUUAGGAUGGCUAUUAUCAAAAAAGCGAGCAAACAAAUCAACAGAAAAACAGUAAAUAACAAGUGUUGGUUAAGGUGUGGAAAAAUUGGGACCCUUGUGCUUUUCUGAUGGGAAUUAAAAUGGAGAAUAUUUUCCAUAUUUACCCUGCGGAAAAUGCUCUGACAGUACCUUGAAAAAUCAACAUAAAAUUACCACACGAUCUAGCAAUUCCAUUUCAGGGUAUAUGU
rnacentral:lncRNA from 1 species